GAUGAAGAACGUAGCGAAAUGCGAUACUUGGUGUGAAUUGCAGAAUCCCGUGAACCAUCGAGUCUUUGAACGCAAGUUGCGCCCGAAGCCAUUAGGCCGAGGGCACGCCUGCCUGGGCGUCACACGUCGUUGCCCCCCCAUCUACUCCUUCGGGAUUGCGGGGGGCGGAUGAUGGCCUCCCGUGCGCCUCGUCGCGCGGUUGGCCUAAAUGCCAAGUCCUCGGCGACGCACGCCACGACAAUCGGUGGUUGCGAAACCUCGGUUGCCCGUCGUGUGCGGUCGUCGCGCAUCGAGGGCUCGAAAAAAUUGCCGGGCUUCGGCUCGACUUUCAACGCGACCCCAGGUCAGGCGGGGUUACCCGCUGAAUUUAAGCAUAUCUAAGCGGAGGA
rnacentral:misc_RNA from 1 species